UACGCCCGUAUAAAAUACGGGACGUAUUAUGUGAAACCCCUUGGCGGCGGGCGGCGGGCGGCGGGCGGAAGGCAUCACUUUGUCCGGACUCUAAUUCAAAUUGUAUUCAUCCGAUCUUCACCAAACUUGGUCAGCAGUUGCAUCUAGUUGAUAUCUAGGCCAAGUUCGAAUAUGGGUCAUGCCGGGUCAAAAACUAGGUCAUAGGGUCAAUAAGUGCAUUUUCAAAGGGGCCACUUUGUCCGGACUCUAUUUCAAAUUGUAUUCAUCCGAUCUUCACCAAACUUGGUCAGCAGUUGCAUCUAGUUGAUAUAUAGGCCAAGUUCGAAUAUGGGUCAUGCCGGGUCAAAAACUAGGUCAUAGGGUCAAUUAGUGCAUUUUCAACGGCGCCACUUUGUCCGGACUCUAAUUCAAAUUGUAUUCAUCCGAUCUUCACCAAACUUGGUCAGAAGUUGUAUCUAGACAAUAUCUAGGUCAAGUUCGAAUAUGGGUCAUGCCGGGUCAAAAACUAGGUCACAGGGUCACUUAAACCAUUUCAAGCAUUUAGCAUGGUGUCCGCUCUCUAAUUGAAGUAGUUAUCAUCCGAUCUUCACCAAAUUUGGUCAGAAGUUGUGUCUAGACAAUAUCUACAUGUAGGUCAAG